ensembl:lncRNA
GGGGGCACUCCGGGGGGGGCGGGGGUUUGGGUUUGGGGGUGCGGAUGUGGGGUUGGGAUUUGGGGUCGGGCUAUGGGGCGCAUGUGGGGUAUCUAUGGGGCAGCCAUGGGGCGGCUAUGGGGUGCGAUGGAGCACUGUGGGGCGCACUCACGAGUAGCUGUGAGGCUGGGGAACCUAUGGGGGACUUAUAGGGUAUCUAUGGGGCGCUGUGGGGCUCACUGUGGGGCGCCCACGAGUAGCUGUGAUGCCUAUGGGUCGCUAUAGGGUAUCUCUGGGUCGCUAGGGGGAGCUGUGGGGCUCUAUGGGGCGCUCACCAGUAGCUGUGAUGCUGUGGUACCUAUGGGGUACCUAUGAGGCUCUAUGGGUCGCUCACGAGUAGCUGUGGUGGCUAUGGGGCGCUAUGGGCGCUGUGUGUCGCUAUAUGGUGCCGCUGGGGGGCGCUCACGAGUGGCUGUGAUGCCUAUGGAUGCCUAUGGGGUGGGUAUGUAUGUAUGUAUGCGCCGCCAGGUGCCGCUGGGGGGCGCUCACGAGUAGCUGUGAUGGCUAUGGGGCUCUAUAGGUCGCUGUGUGCCGCCGGGGGGCGCUCACGAGUAGCUGUGAUGGCUAUGGGGUUAUGUAUGUAUGAUGUGCCGCGCUGUGCCGCCAGGGGGCGCUCACGAGUAGCUGUGAUGCCUAUGGGGCUCUAUAGGUCGCUGUGUGCCGCUGGGGGGCGCUCACGAGUGUCUGUGAUGCCUAUGGGGUUAUGUAUGUAUGUAUGUAUGUAUGUAUGUGCCGCGCUGUGCCGCCAGGGGGCGCUCACGAGUAGCUGUGAUGCCUAUGGGGUUAUGUAUGUAUGUAUGUAUGUAUGUGCCGCGCUGUGCCACCGGGGGGCGCUCACGAGUGGCUGUGAUGGCUAUGGGGCUCUAUGGGGCGCUGUGUGUUGCCAUGUGCCGCUGGGGGGCGCUCACGAGUAGCUGUGAUGCCUAUGGAUGCCUAUGGGGUGGGUAUGUAUGUAUGUAUGUGCCGCGCUGUGCCGCCGGGGGGCGCUCACGGGUAGCUGUGAUGCCUAUGGGGCUCUAUGGGGCGCUGUGUGUUGCCAUGUGCCGCUGGGGGGCGCUCACGAGUAGCU